UCCUCUGGUUAUCUACUAUUCUCAGGGU
rnacentral:piRNA from 1 species